rnacentral:rRNA from 1 species
GACGAACCGUGCGAACGUUAUUCGGAAUCACUGGGCUUAAAGCGCGUGUAGGCGGGACGGCACGUCGGUCGCUGAAAUCCCCCGCUCAACCGGGGAACGGGCGCCGAUACGACCGCCCUGGAGGGACGUAGGGGGACCUGGAACUUCCGGUGGAGCGGUGAAAUGCGUUGAGAUCGGAAGGAACGCCCGUGGCGAAAGCGAGGUCCUGGACGUUUACUGACGCUGAGACGCGAAAGCCAGGGAGCGAACGGGAUUAGA